AGUGAACGCUGGCGGUAGGCCUAACACAUGCAAGUCGAACGGCAGCACAGUAAGAGCUUGCUCUUACGGGUGGCGAGUGGCGGACGGGUGAGGAAUACAUCGGAAUCUACUUUUUCGUGGGGGAUGACGUAGGGAAACUUACGCUAAUACCGCAUACGACCUACGGGUGAAAGCAGUGGAUCUUCGGACCUUGCGCGAUUGAAUGAGCCGAUGUCGGAUUAGCUAGUUGGCGGGGUAAGGGCCCACCAAGGCGACGAUCCGUAGCUGGUCUGAGAGGAUGAUCAGCCACACUGGAACUGAGACACGGUCCAGACUCCUACGGGAGGCAGCAGUGGGGAAUAUUGGACAAUGGGCGCAAGCCUGAUCCAGCCAUACCGCGUGGGUGAAGAAGGCCUUCGGGUUGUAAAGCCCUUUUGUUGGGAAAGAAAAGCAGCAGGUUAAUACCCCGCUGUUCUGACGGUACCCAAAGAAUAAGCACCGGCUAACUUCGUG
rnacentral:rRNA from 1 species